GAUUUGACGGUACCUGCAGAGGAAGCUCCGGCUAACUCCGUGCCAGCAGCCGCGGUAAUACGGAGGGAGCAAGCGUUAUUCGGAAUUAUUGGGCGUAAAGAGCGCGUAGGCGGAUGUUUAGGUCUGACGUGAAAUCGUUACCGCUUAACGGAACGACUGCGUUGGAAACCGGAUGUCUUGAGUAUGGCAGAGGUUGGUGGAAUUCCUGGUGUAGCGGUGGAAUGCGCAGAUAUCAGGAAGAACACCGGUGGCGAAGGCGACCAACUGGGCCAUUACUGACGCUGAGGCGCGAAAGCUAGGGUAGCGAACGGGAUUAGAUACCCCGGUAGUCCUAGCCGUAAACGAUGGAUGCUAGACGUGGGAGGUAUCGACCCCCUCCGUGUCGCAGUUAACGCAUUAAGCAUCCCGCCUGGGGAGUACGAUCGCAAGAUUGAAACUCAAAGGAAUUGACGGGGGCCCGCACAAGCGGUGGAGCAUGUGGUUUAAUUCGACGCAACGCGAAGAACCUUACCUGGGCUUGAACUGCAGGGAAAAGCCGGUGAAAGCCGGUGUGACCUUCGGGUCGUUCCUGUAGAGGUGCUGCAUGGCUGUCGUCAGCUCGUGUCGUGAGAUGUUGGGUUAAGUCCCGCAACGAGCGCAACCCUUGUCGUUAGUUACCAGCGAGUAAUGUCGGGGACUCUAACGAGACCGCCCGCGCAAGCGGGAGGAAGGUGGGGACGACGUCAAGUCAUCAUGGCCCUUACGUCCAGGGCUAUACACGUGCUACAAUGGCGAGUACAACGCGCAGCCAACCCGCGAGGGUGAGCGAAUCGCUUAAAGCUCGUCUCAGUUCGGAUUGGAGUCUGCAACUCGACUCCAUGAAGGUGGAAUCGCUAGUAAUCGCGUAUCAGCAAUGGCGCGGUGAAUACGUUCCCGGGCCUUGUACACACCGCCCGU
rnacentral:rRNA from 1 species